CACCUCAUCUUACAUGUGUGUCUUCUCCAGGGUUCAGGCACAUAAUUAGUGGAGCCAUGCCUGUGCGGCUCCACUAAUUCGGUAGGUGGCCCUUCAUUCUCUUGUGUGCAGCCACCCAAGCGCGCAUCUUAGAGGGAACUGUCCACGGACCACCUGAAUGGAGCUCGCAGACCACUGGUGGUUCACGGACCACAGUUUGAGAACCUCUGCUCUAGUGCACUUUACCAUAUAGGUGACUUACCAUAGGG